GUGGGAGGGGGCUUGCCCCCGAUAGCGGUGGGUCAGCCAGUUCAAUAGUUGCUGACACACCGCAUCGGGGGCAAGCCCCCUCCCAC
rnacentral:misc_RNA from 1 species